AACGAACGCUGGCGGCAUGCCUAACACAUGCAAGUCGAACGAGACCUUCGGGUCUAGUGGCGCACGGGUGCGUAACGCGUGGGAACCUGCCCUUAGGUUCGGAAUAACUCCCCGAAAGGGGUGCUAAUACCGGAUCAUGUCUUCGGACCAAAGAUUUAUCGCCUUUGGAUGGGCCCGCGUUGGAUUAGCUAGUUGGUAGGGUAAAAGCCUACCAAGGCGACGAUCCAUAGCUGGUCUGAGAGGAUGAGCAGCGACACUGGGACUGAGACACGGCCCAGACUCCUACGGGAGGCAGCAGUGGGGAAUAUUGGACAAUGGGCGAAAGGCUGAUCCAGCAAUGCCGGGUGAGUGAUGAAGGCCUUAGGGUUGUAAAGCUCUUUUACCCGGGAUGAUAAUGACAGUACCGGGAGAAUAAGCUCCGGCUAACUCCGUG
rnacentral:rRNA from 1 species